rnacentral:rRNA from 1 species
CCUACGGGGGGCAGCAGUGAGGAAUAUUGGUCAAUGGGCGCAAGCCUGAACCAGCCAAGUCGCGUGCGGGAUGAAGGCUCUAUGGAUUGUAAACUUCUUUUAUAUGGGAAUAAAGUGUGGCACGUGUCCUAUUUUGUAUGUACACUAUGAAUAAGGAUCGGCUAACUCCGUGCCAGCAGCAGCGGUAAUACGGAGGAUCCGAGCGUUAUCCGGAUUUAUUGGGUUUAAAGGGUGCGUAGGCGGCCUGUUAAGUCAGCGGUGAAAGUCUGUGGCUCAACCAUGGAAUUGCCGUUGAAACUGGGGGGCUUGAGUACGGACGAGGCAGGCGGAAUGCGUGGUGUAGCGGUGAAAUGCUUAGAUAUCACGCAGAACCCCGAUUGCGAAGGCAGCUUGCCGGGCCGUAACUGACGCUGAGGCACGAAAGCGUGGGGAUCAAACAGGAUUAGAUACCCCAGUAGUC